UCGGAUGCAUCCUUAGAGCCUCGGGACCUUGCUUUCCUCACCUGUACGAUGGCUUCCUACCUCAUGGGCCGUGUGAGGACUGAAUGAGCCCAGCGUCCGUGCACCGUGCUGCCUUCUCAUGCUGAUACUUGGGCCUAACAGUGAGCUGGUUAAUGUUUAACAGCCGGCUCUCUGGGAAAACAAGCCAUGGUUUGCAGCAUUUGACGACUUCCAUGGUGUAAAUAUUCUAGCCUCCGCCAAUUUCAAGCUACUGAUGUGAAGUCACCAGACUUGCAAAAUUCCCGAAAAUGGAUCAAUCAAGUGAGCUGGUAGGAGCCAGCUCUCACACGCCACUGCUCAGUCCCACCUUCAGAUCUUCCAUUUUCUCUAUUAAGCUACGCAAACAGUGACCUACUGAACCAGUGGCUUAACAAAUAAAAGUUUAUUUCUCA